rnacentral:rRNA from 1 species
UACGUAGGGUCCGAGCGUUGUCCGGAAUUAUUGGGCGUAAAGGGCUCGUAGGCGGUUUGUCGCGUCGGGAGUGAAAACACCGGGCUUAACUCGGUGCUUGCUUUCGAUACGGGCAGACUGGAGGCAUGCAGGGGAGAACGGAAUUCCUGGUGUAGCGGUGAAAUGCGCAGAUAUCAGGAGGAACACCGGUGGCGAAGGCGGUUCUCUGGGCAUGUCCUGACGCUGAGGAGCGAAAGUGUGGGGAGCGAACAGG